rnacentral:rRNA from 1 species
CAGUAGCCGCGGGAAUACGGAGGGGGCUAGCGUUGUUCGGAAUUACUGGGCGUAAAGCGCACGUAGGCGGCGAUUUAAGUCAGGGGUGAAAUCCCGCAGCUCAACUGCGGAACUGCCUUUGAUACUGGGUAUCUUGAGUAUGGAAGAGGUAGUGGAAUUGCGAGUGUAGAGGUGAAAUUCGUAGAUAUUCGCAGGAACACCAGUGGCGAAGGCGGCUAACUGGUCCAUAACUGACGCUGAGGUGCGAAAGCGUGGGGAGCAAACAGGAUUAGAUACCCCUGUAGUCCCUGUCUCUUAUACA